CUGCCAGUUGCCUGGGGAUCUUGUUAGAAUGUAGACUCUGAUUCAGUCCUCUGCGGAGAGGCCUGACACUCUGCAUUUCUAACAAGCUCCCAGGUGACAAUGAC
rnacentral:pre_miRNA from 1 species